UACGUAGGGUGCGAGCGUUAAUCGGAAUUACUGGGCGUAAAGCGUGCGCAGGCGGGCUUUUAAGCCAGACGUGAAAUCCCCGGGCUUAACCUGGGAAUGGCGUUUGGGACUGGGAGUCUGGAGUGCGGCAGAGGAGACUGGAAUUCCUGGUGUAGCAGUGAAAUGCGUAGAUAUCAGGAGGAACACCGAUGGCGAAGGCAGGUCUCUGGGCUGACACUGACGCUGAGGAGCGAAAGCGUGGGGAGCGAACAGG
rnacentral:rRNA from 1 species